rnacentral:misc_RNA from 1 species
GAAAUGCGAUACGUAAUGCGAAUUGCAGGACUCAGUGAAUCAUCGAAUUUUUGAACGCACAUUGCGGUUUCGGGUUAGCCCUGAGACCAUGCCUCGUCGAGUAUCGGUUUAACUAAUCUCCACAGCGUGCUUGCACGUGUUCAGUGGGAAAAUGAGCUUCUCAGCGGAUUUCGGUCUGCGGAGUUGCUUGAAAUUCAUGCGCUAACCACAAUGUCCUAUUAUCUUGGGCAGUCGGUUGACAUCGAUAUUUUCGCUGCGUGCGAUCAAUCAAUGUCAAAUGCUGAUUAACCUUGAUUGAGGGUAUUGAAGUGCUUUGAAAUAUUUUCAAAACUAGAUCUCGACUGAAGCAAGAAUACCCCCCGAAUUUAA